GUUUAUCAGUGCAGGUAACCACCAACAAGAAAACACAGAUCCCCACACAUACAUCUCCUAUAUUAAGUCAGUUUGAUUCACAAACGAGUACACAGGGUCACCGGGUAGCCUGGAGCCACACACAAUUUGGAAAUGCUAAUCAGCCUACAACGGAUGUCUUUGGACUGGGAGAGGAAGCUGGAAUGCCCAGAAGAAACUCCUGAAGCACAGGGAGAACUCCGCACACAAACCCCCAACCCCAGAGGUGCAAGGCGAACGUGCUAACCAAUAAGCCACCUGUCCUUGCACACUAGAAGACAACCAUAGGUCUAUUGCCUGAUGUAGAUGAAGGCCCUAGCAGCUGUGAGGAAGCUUUAAUGUGACUUUCCAGCCAGCAAAAUUAAUGUGAUAAACAGAUAUUUGUAUGUUUGAUGUUUGUUUGAUGUUUGUUUGAAAAUGGACAGGACAAGAAAAAUAUUGAUCAGGGAGGCUACCAAGAUAUCUUUCUCACAGGAAUUAGUCACUCGCUGCAUGGAACAACAAUCUCCUGCAUCCUGCAUUUCUGGAUAAGAAUAGGGUGUCACAAUGAAGGCAUUUCUCCAAAAAUGUGUUAUCAUCUGAUAACACAAUUCUAGAUUGUUUGAAUUUGGUGACUGAAGAUAAAUGAUUAAAUAAUAUGAAAGAGGUUGUCCCUUUCUGCCUCUUUCACUGACAUUUAUUAGCCAAAAAUGUCACAGAGCUCAGACACUGGUUAUCUAUAAAUUAGAGAUGGCACUGAAUAUUUAUCUGAAAAUGAGAGAAUCUGUUUGUUUGGUCGGUGUAAAUGUUCAGUCAUUAGAUUAAAAACACUGGAAGAAAUAAAAUUCAUUUAAAUUUCACACAAAUGCAUAUUCCCUGGACUUUUAAGCAGUUAACAUUUCAAGAUGACGGAACUACAUUACGUUAUGAUAUAGAUCAAAUCCAGAUCUAGCCUAUUUAACUACACAUAUUUUAGACAUUGAGAUCUGUGAGUUUAUGUAUUGAAUGCACACAAUAUGAAAAGUACACACAAUUUAGAAUUUUAUCACCAGAUAAUUCAGUUCUACAAAAGCAAUGCAGGAACACUGAACAACACAGGCUUCACAGAAAAAUUUUGACAAAAGAUAAAUGGAAAUAAACCAAAGACAUGCUGGUCU